rnacentral:rRNA from 1 species
AGGGUUCGAUUCUGGCUCAGGAUGAACGCUGGCGGCGUGCUUAACACAUGCAAGUCGAACGGGAUCCAUCAGCUUGCUGGUGGUGAGAGUGGCGAACGGGUGAGUAAUGCGUGACCGACCUGCCCCAUGCUCCGGAAUAGCUCCUGGAAACGGGUGGUAAUGCCGGAUGUUCCAGUUGAUCGCAUGGUCUUCUGGGAAAGCUUUCGCGGCGUGGGAUGGGGUCGCGUCCUAUCAGCUUGACGGCGGGGUAACGGCCCACCGUGGCUUCGACGGGUAGCCGGCCUGAGAGGGCGACCGGCCACAUUGGGACUGAGAUACGGCCCAGACUCCUACGGGAGGCAGCAGUGGGGAAUAUUGCACAAUGGGCGCAAGCCUGAUGCAGCGACGCCGCGUGAGGGAUGGAGGCCUUCGGGUUGUAAACCUCUUUUGUCAGGGAGCAAGCGUGAGUGAGUGUACCUGUCGAAUAAGCGCCGGCUAACUACGUGCCAGCAGCCGCGGUAAUACGUAGGGCGCAAGCGUUAUCCGGAAUUAUUGGGCGUAAAGGGCUCGUAGGCGGUUCGUCGCGUCCGGUGUGAAAGUCCAUCGCUUAACGGUGGAUCCGCGCCGGGUACGGGCGGGCUUGAGUGCGGUAGGGGAGACUGGAAUUCCCGGUGUAACGGUGGAAUGUGUAGAUAUCGGGAAGAACACCAAUGGCGAAGGCAGGUCUCUGGGCCGUUACUGACGCUGAGGAGCGAAAGCGUGGGGAGCGAACAGGAUUAGAUACCCUGGUAGUCCACGCCGUAAACGGUGGAUGCUGGAUGUGGGGCACGUUCCACGUGUUCCGUGUCGGAGCCAACGCGUUAAGCAUCCCGCCUGGGGAGUACGGCCGCAAGGCUAAAACUCAAAGAAAUUGACGGGGGCCCGCACAAGCGGCGGAGCAUGCGGAUUAAUUCGAUGCAACGCGAAGAACCUUACCUGGGCUUGACAUGUUCCCGACG